AAAUAACCACUGCCUUGUCCAAAUGUCUUUUUUAAACUUUCUAACCUCCUCAAUUUGCUAUUAUUAUUCCUGAAUAAGUAUAUUGAUUGAAUUGGAGGUAAAAACCACAGAUUUUGAAACAUGUUGAAUUGACCUUUAUUGGCAAGAAAUUUAUGCCAUUCUAUAGAAUUAGUUUUUGCUAUUGAGAAAGUAUCCAAUGGAAUACCCAAUUCUUCUAUGUCUCCUCCACUUUGAGUUAAUGACCUCAAGAGGUACGUUGCGCUAUUGAUAAAAAAUUUUACAAAUGCUCUUAGUAAAUUUCUUAAUAAUAUAUAUAUGUCUAAAAUAUUAGAGGCCAAUCAGCUUUUGGAUAUGCUCGGAUAUGCCGAUAGGCAUGCAACCAUGGCUUAAUCUAACUUUGUUGAUGCUUCUUUUUUAACUUGUAUUCUUGCUCAACUUGCAACAAUUUUCUUACUUGCGCUCUCUCUUGUCUUUCUUUUGACUUGCAUGUUUUGUUUAUUGUAAUGUUCUCAUUCUUAAUAAUCAUAAUCUUUCAGUAUAUACUAUUGAAUUUGCUUCCUAACUCCCAUUCAACUACUCUUUCUCUUCACUUUCGAAUCAAUUUCAAUUUUAUAACUUCUUCGUGCAACAUCCAAAACUACUUGUUCGGUAGCUAAUUCCUAAUACUCAAUACUAUUAUCGAUCCUCUACAGCAAUGUCAAAAUGUGGUUGUCGUUUUACUUAUUCUACAUAUUUCUUUCAAAAUAAACUUAUAAAGGAAGAUUCAAACACAAGGAAAUACUAUCUACACGAGCUUACAUAUUAGGGUCACACAAUUAAUUGUAUUCCAAACCACUAAAAUACCAAAGAAUACUACAAUGCUUUCUCUCACUAAUAAUACUCCUUCACAAAUUGAUAACAACAAUGUACAAUCCUGUACUCUCAA
rnacentral:lncRNA from 1 species